rnacentral:rRNA from 1 species
AGGAGUGGAGCCUGCGGCUUAAUUUGACUCAACACGGGAAACCUCACCAGGCCCGGACACCGGAAGGAUUGACAGAUUGAGAGCUCUUUCUUGAUUCGGUGGGUGGUGGUGCAUGGCCGUUCUUAGUUGGUGGAGCGAUUUGUCUGGUUAAUUCCGAUAACGAACGAGACUCUAGCCUGCUAACUAGGCGUACUUUCGACAUCCCAAAGGCCCGCCGGUCCGGCGGUCGUCGCGGCCGCGCGCGGUUUUUACUGUCGGCGUACAAUUAAUUCUUCUUAGAGGGACAGGCGGCUUCUAGCCGCACGAGAUUGAGCAAUAACAGGUCUGUGAUGCCCUUAGAUGUUCUGGGCCG